GAGCAGGGUGGGCAGGAUCCGCACGUGCGUGUGCUAUUGAGGACCUGCGUCCAGUGUGCGGGAGGCGGAGAUGAACCCACAGAGCAGGGCGCCUGCCCUUGAGGACCUGCGUCCAGUGUGCGGGAGGCGGAGAUGAACCCACACAGGAGGGCGCCCGCCCUGGGCAGCAGCAAGCCUUCCCCACCCACCAAACAGAACCUGGCCCACGAGUGUUUCACCACCAGGUCUGAUCUGAUUUAGGAGGGCUGUGGGGUUGUCCUGAUAAGUCAAAUUUUGUUAAAAACGUGUUCUUAGAGCCGUGGCAUUGGCCACACUCUGGGUGUGAGACUGCAGGGUGCUCAAAGGGUGUGGCCCUUCCCGGUCACCUUCCUCAGUCCAGACGUGCCUCUGCCACUCAGAGUGCGUGCCAGGCCCAACCAGCCGUGGCCCUCGGUUCCCUGGGGUGACAGGAAGGGAGAGAAAAGCACAUCAGGUAGGCAGGAGCAGGGGAGAAGGCAGCUCCACGUGAACUGUAAUGAGACAAAGAGGGCAGGAAUCUCGUUUUAAAAGUCACAGAAACAAAUGAAUUUUAACCUUUUUCUCACAAGAUAACCCUCCUGCAACAUUUCCUUUUCUUCGUUUUCUUUGCUUUCAUGGUUAUGCUGGGUUGGAACAUGCCCUGGCUACAAAUCAUAGUAGGCCUUUGAUAGACUUUAAAAAUGGCCAAAUGAAAUACAGAGAAUAUAAAGGAUUCAGAAGUAAUUAAUUCAAAACUACAACCUACUUUGAAACAUUUAUGCAGAGAAAUUCGUUGUUACAAAAGAGGGUCAGGGCCGGGCGCGGUGGCUCACGCCUGUAAUCCCAGCACUUUGGGAGGCCGAGGCGGGCACAUCACGAGGUCGGGAGAUCGAAACCAUCCUGGCUAACACGGUGAAACCCCGUCUCUACUAAAAAAUACAAAAAAAAAAAUUAGCUGGUCGUGGUGGCGGGAUCCUGUAGUCCCAGCUACUUGGGAGGCUGAGGCAGGAGAAUGGCGUGAACCCGGGAGGCGGAGCUUGCAGUGAGCCGAGAUCGCGCCACCGCACUCCAGCCUGGGCGACAGAGCGAGACUCCGUCUCAAAAAAUAAAAUAAAAUAAAAGAGGGUCGGUGCAUUCACGAUCUGACCCUUUAAUCCCAUUGCUGUUUUCUGCACCGUUGGUCUAUCCCCUUCUUUUUUUUUUUUGGAACACUCACACGCAAUCACCCGGCUGAAAGAUGGUUAGAAAAAGAAAUUAUGAAGAGCCUGGAAAAUCCACAAACCAGACAGUCAGCCCCUGAGGCGUGGAGACGCCUUCCCUUCCUGGGUUUCUGGCGCGGGCGCAGACCCUUCCCCAGCCUGGAGGGCGCUGCCGGUGUCAGAAGCGGAGGUUUCGGAGGCGGCUGCAGCCUCGGAAUAGCCGGUCACAGCCACUGCGCUGCUGUCGGUGAAAGGCAGCCCGGGACCUGAGGCCAAACGCAAGCUCAGGCCGCAGCUACCAAGGGAACCUGCCUAAGCGGGCGGCACAGAAGGGAGCGCCGGGGACGCUCUGGUUUUCAGAUCCCCUUUCGGAAGGUGAGAUUGUUUUUCAUAACAGGCAAAGGAAGAUAAGCCCCGCGCCCGGCGAAACCCUGGCCCUCCCUCGCUGCUGCCUCUGGCCCUGUGUGCAGCUGAACGCAGCUCUUAUUUAAAUCAUGUUGAGGAAUUAAUACUGGUGCACUGACAGGUUUUUUCUAAUACAAAGUUUAAUAACCGCUUAAAACAAGCCAAUAAAGAAGAAUGAGAUGUUUUUAAAAUCAAGAAUUUGACCUGGCUCAGUAUCUCACACCUAUAAUCCCAGCACUUUGGGACACUGAGGUGGGGGGAUCACUUGAGGCCAGGAGUUCGAGACCAGCCUGGCCAACAUGGCAAAACCCAGUCUCUACUAAAAAUACAAAAAUUAGCCGAGCAUGGUGGCGGGCGCCUGUAAUCCCAGCUACUCCGGAGGCUGAGGCAGGAGAGUCGCUUGAACUCAGGAGGAGGACGGAGGCUGCAGUGAGCCGAAAUGAAUCCACUGUACACCAGCCUGGGUGACAAAGUGAGACUCUGUCUCUAAAAAAUAACAAAUAAAUAAAAUCAAGAAUUUACUAAGCAUAACGUAGUUUAAUGUUAUCCUCAUCCCUUUGAGAUGUGUUACAAAAACAUGUCUGAUGGGAGCUCGAGAGCCACGAGUCCCUUGUCCUGUUUUCAGUGAGUGUUUUCUCCACACCCCUCCCCGGCCCGGGAGCACAAACAGGCCUGGCCUUGACCUAAAGUCUCUCUGUUUUUUUUCCUACUGCACUCAGGCCCCCAAUGGCUGCUCUUCUCUUCCUCUUUUGCCUACUAGCUGGAACAGGAAUUUAAAUCCAAGAAGCCUACCUCCUGCACAGGACACAGGUGGAUGUGAGGGAAUGGUCUGGGUGGAGCUGCCCUGGCUGAAUGUCUGCAGCUGUGCCAGCUGCCUAGGCACGUGAGGAGGGCGGCCAGGCUGCCUCACAAUCUCUGGCUGGUCGUCAGUGGGCUGGAUGGGUGCAAUGGCGGUGUGAGGACACAGGACAGUGGAGGCCGUAAUCCACGUCCCCUGAGCAACCUUUCACGCAGCCACUCUACACUCCCGUGUACCAGAGAGCUCUGCCCCACCCAGAGCAGGACCUGUGUCCUGAGAAACCACCCAGCAGCUGUGGCUUCUCCCAAAGGCCUCCGUCCCAAGCCGCCGGUUGUGUGGUUGCAUGGCUGCUGUGGUGGCAUUCUUAAGGCCUGAGGAAAUAUGCGUUGAAAUGCACACAGGCCUGGGCUGGGGGAGCCCAGGAAAGUGCUCCAGCUCCUGCAUAUUCCUGGAUGAGUUUCGCCCCCCCGUGGUUCCUGGCUGCUCCAGUUCAGCAUCCUCUUGUGCCCAGCUGGCUUAGAGUUAGCCUAGAAAAACACAGUUGAGGAAGUAAAUCUUCCACUGAGUAAGGGUAUACAUUCCAAAGUCAAAUAAAGGGUGAUGGAUUAGAAGCUGUCCCCUCCAGUGUGGCUGCCUCCCAGAAAUCACACAUUCUGAACCAUGGAGGUGUCGAGCACAGACCGCACCUCCACCCGCAGGUUGCCCUCUUCAGACACCAGCUCAGGCUAGAGGGCAGGCAGCGACAAUGUACCUGGCCCCUGAGCACUUAGACCUACCGGCUCAGGUCUGUACUGCCCUGCUUGGCACAGAUUCCCCAAGGGCAGGGUUCUGUCCUGUGCACGGCUGAGUCUCCGCUGCCUUGUGGAGCUUCUGGCACAUUCUUAGUCAUUUGAAAAGCUAUUGAAUGAAGGAGCCCAUGAGGUAUGUGGAUUCACCUUGGAAGGAGCAGGAGCUGUGGGUCACCACAGAUGGCCAUUCUAAGACUGCCCUUGCCUGGAAGCACAGAACAACUCAGUGGGCAGUGUCCCCAGGCACACAGGGACCCCCCGCCCCCAGCCCAGAUGCUCCCAAACAUCUAGAAACACGGUGAUCCCAGCUGCUCUGUGUUUCAACAGGAAGGAUAGAGGCUCAUGAGAGCCGGGUCUGUGUCUCAGCAGGAAGGACAGAGGCUCAUGAGAGCUGGGUCUGUGUUUCAGCAGGAAGGACAGAGGCCCAUGAGAGCCGGGGUCAUGGGGGAAGCUGGGGCAAGGAAUCCACAAGGGGUGUGUCAGCUCCUCAGGGAGACGUGGUUCUGUUUUUCUUUUCAUGUGGUUUCAUGGAAAAUACCUUGAUGAAAACUAUCAGCAAAAGUCAAAGAACUUUUUACAGGAAAGAAAAUAAAUGCACCAACUCAUCUACCUGCAUAUCAGACGUGAUCCCAUCAAACGAGGAGGGCCACAACAAACAGAAACCCCCCAUAAAGAAUGUCUACUUUCCAUAAGUGAAUAAAGUCACAAAACAUAUCACCUGAUGAUCGCCAUUUUCAUUUCAACGUCAUCCUUCAUUAAGUUGUCUACACAAGUUUUAUUCCGUUCUCUUAACCUGAAGCUUGCUUUUAAAAACAAAAUCCACGAACCCAUCGCACAUGCUAAGCAGUUACACUCCUGGAUGGCCAGGAGCUUGUUCAGGUGUUUAUUCACUCAUUCAUGGUUUUUGGAGCAAUUACUGUGCCCAGUGCUGGGGCAACAAAGGCAAGAGACAGUUCUCACCUUCAAGUUGCUCCCAGGCUGGCUCUGCUACCCAAGAGCUACAAACAGAGAUCUUCCUGAACUCGCCUUUUGGCCUCAGGAUGAUGUGGUAUAGAAAAAAUUCAUUAGCAAACAGUCACCUAGAAAUUUAGAGCUGUAACAUUUGUUAAGGAACACACAGAAAAAGAGCACACAUUGAUGCUUUGAA
rnacentral:lncRNA from 1 species